CACAAAAAUCUUCUGCUCCAGGACCACAACAAUUCUAUCUCGUCUAAGCUUCACUGAUCGAACCUCAGACCUGAACGAGAGCUCCCCGAUGCAGCGGCUCUGAUGGUCGUCCCAUAUCAUAACCUUGUUAGGAGAAUACUGAGGGUCAGAACCACCGCCAACAAGAGCUAAUAUAUUACAACGGAAAAGCAUCUCAACGACACCGAUCCCGCCGCCGCCGUGAUCAAAGUCCCGGCGGAAGAUCUCCCGGAAUGGGUCGCAGUUAUAGAUGCGAAACCCGUGGUCCGUACCCGCCGCGAAACACCCAAAAUCCUGAUUGAAUGAGAGGUGAAGUAGAGAAACUGGGGCGGGCGGGAAGGUGGACUCAGGCGGUGAAGACACAGACACAGGAGCAUGAUAAUUGGGGUUAGAAUUAACCGGAGAUAGCUGAUCCGUAAGAUGAUCUUGAGGCAUAAUUGGAGAAAGCGAGUCGUAAGAUUGGGAUUGUGACUGUGAGUCGAGUCCUUCGGCGGUAUCUUGCGGAGAAAGAAGGGUACCGUUAGGGUUUGCAUUUGGCCAUGGAGGAGAGUAGGCGGAGAGAGUCGCCAUUAUUCAAGGAUCUAAAAGGAAUUUUGGAUGAUUAUGGGGGCGAUUGUGAAAUGGACGGAGAUAGGUAUCGUAUCAUAAGCGGGGAAGGAGGUGAAAUUAUGAUGAAAAUACGAUAUUAUCCCUGGAGUUGGGAGAAUGUUUCGCUCGAGGGCUAAGCUAAGGGCAGGGAGAGAUUUGUCCUCGAAAAAGUAGGCUCAAGCCGUGCUUGCNNNNNNNNNUAGAAUCAAAAUUGAAAAAAGAAUUGCAAAUUUAUUCGUUGAUUUAGGGACAAGAAUCGUG
rnacentral:misc_RNA from 1 species